UAUUCCCGGAGCCUGUAAAGGUGAACCCACUGGGACUGGCUGGGGGAAAAGAGGAAGAUUUGUUCUAGAAGGAACUAUCUGA
ensembl:snoRNA SNORD22 Small nucleolar RNA SNORD22